GGGCUUGACAUCCCACGAACCUGCCCGAAAAGGUGGGGUGCCCGCAAGGGAGCGUGGAGACAGGUGGUGCAUGGCUGUCGUCGGCUCGUGCCGUGAGAUGUUGGGUUAAGUCCCGCAACGAGCGCAACCCUCGCCCCUAGUUGCCACCGGGUUAAGCCGAGCACUCAAGGGGAACUGCCAGCGUCAAGCUGGAGGAAGGCGGGGAUGACGUCAAGUCAUCAUGCCCCUUACGCCCUGGGCUACACACGUGCUACAAUGGCCAGUACAAAGGGACGCGAGACUGCGAAGUGGAGCUAAUCCCAAAAAGCUGGUCUAAGUUCAGAUUGCAGUCUGCAACUCGACUGCAUGAAGGAGGAAUCGCUAGUAAUCGCGCAUCAGCCCGGCGCGGUGAAUACGUUCCCGGGCCUUGUACACACCGCCCGUCACACCACGAAAGCUGUCUGUACUCGAAGUCGCUGAG
rnacentral:rRNA from 1 species